CCUACGGGCGGCUGCAGUGGGGAAUCUUGGGCAAUGGGCGCAAGCCUGACCCAGCAAUGCCGCGUGAAGGAAGAAGGCUUUCGGGUUGUAAACUUCUUUGACAGGGGAAGAGCAGAAGACGGUACCCUGAAAACAAGCCACGGCUAACUACGUGCCAGCAGCCGCGGUAAUACGUAGGUGGCAAGCGUUGUACGGAUUUACUGGGUGUAAAGGGCGUGUAGCCGGGAAGGCAAGUCAGAUGUGAAAUCUGGAGGCUCAACCUCCAAAUUGCAUUUGAAACUGUUGUUCUUGAGUACUGGAGAGGCGGACGGAAUUCCUUGUGGAGCGGUGAAAUGCGUAGAUAUAAGGAGGAACACCAGUGGCGAAGGCGGUCUGCUGGACAGCAACUGACGGUGAGGCGCGAAAGCGUGGGGAGCAAACAGGAUUAGAUACCCCUGUAGUC
rnacentral:rRNA from 1 species